UCCGAAAUAGUAUAGGGGCUAGUAUAUUCCGCUCUCAAAGCUGAAGUGCCGGAAAGACCCGGGUUCAAUUCCCGGUUUCGGAA
rnacentral:tRNA from 1 species